UAACUCUCGCACCGCGAAUGUCACCGUUCGCGGGGCGGAUUUGGGUGCUGCCGUUGUUGGCUCGCCUCGAAAUGCAUUAGCUGUCUGACGACCGCGCCGCUGGUGUGAUAAUUUGCUUUGCGCCGCUGGAGUGGUCUGGUGAUGGCUCAUAAACCGUCCGAGAGGACAACAUCUAUAAUG
rnacentral:misc_RNA from 1 species